GUGUCAGCAGCCGCGGUAAUACGUAGGGUCCGAGCGUUGUCCGGAAUUAUUGGGCGUAAAGGGCUCGUAGGCGGUCUGUUGCGUCGGGAGUGAAAAUUCACAGCUUAACUGUGAACUUGCUUCCGAUACGGGCAGACUUGAGGUAUUCAGGGGAGAACGGAAUUCCUGGUGUAGCGGUGAAAUGCGCAGAUAUCAGGAGGAACACCGGUGGCGAAGGCGGUCCUCUGGGAAUAUCCUGACGCUGAGGAGCGAAAGUGUGGGGAGCGAACAGGAUUAGAUACCCUGGUAGUCC
rnacentral:rRNA from 1 species